rnacentral:rRNA from 1 species
UGGGGAAUAUUGCACAAUGGGCGAAAGCCUGAUGCAGCAACGCCGCGUGAGGGACGACGGCCUUCGGGUUGUAAACCUCUUUUAGCAAGGAAGAAGCGAAAGUGACGGUACUUGCAGAAAAAGCGCCGGCUAACUACGUGCCAGCAGCCGCGGUAAUACGUAGGGCGCAAGCGUUAUCCGGAAUUAUUGGGCGUAAAGAGCUCGUAGGCGGUUUGUCGCGUCUGCUGUGAAAACCCGAGGCUCAACCUCGGGCCUGCAGUGGGUACGGGCAGACUAGAGUGCGGUAGGGGAGAUUGGAACUCCUGGUGUAGCGGUGGAAUGCGCAGAUAUCAGGAAGAACACCGAUGGCGAAGGCAGAUCUCUGGGCCGUAACUGACGCUGAGGAGCGAAACGGGUGGGGAGCAAACAGGCUUAGAUACCCUGGUAGUCCACCCCGUAAACGUUGGGACUAGUUGUGGGGUCCAUUCCACGGAUUCCGUGACGCAGCUAACGCAUUAAGUU